UACGUAGGGUGCAAGCGUUGUCCAGAAUUAUUGGGCGUAAAGAGCUCGUAGGCGGUUUGUCGCGUCUGUCGUGAAAGCUUGGGGCUUAACCCCAAGUCUGCGGUGGAUACGGGCAGACUAGAGGCAGGUAGGGGAGAACGGAAUUCCCGGUGUAGCGGUGAAAUGCGCAGAUAUCGGGAGGAACACCGGUGGCGAAGGCGGUUCUCUGGGCCUGUACUGACGCUGAGGAGCGAAAGCGUGGGGAGCGAACAGG
rnacentral:rRNA from 1 species